rnacentral:rRNA from 1 species
GAUGAACGCUGGCGGCGUGCCUAAUACAUGCAAGUCGAGCGAACAGACCAGGAGCUUGCUCCUCUGACUUUAGCGGCCGACGGGUGAGUCACUCGUGGUUAACCUAACUAUACGACUGGGAUACCUUCGGGAAACCGUAGCUACUACCGGAUAAUUUAUUGAACCGCAUGGUUCACUCGUGAAAGUCGCUUUUUCUGUCACUUAUAGCUGGAUCCGCGCAGCAUUAGCUAGUUGGUAAGGUAACGGCUUAACAAGGCUACGAUGCUUAGCCGACCUGAGAGCGAGAUCGGCCAGACGGGAAGUGAGACUCAGCCGAGACUCUGGCGCGGGGCAGCGGUAGAGACUCUUACGGAAUGGACGAGAGCCUGACAGUGGAAAGCCGCGUGAGGGAUGAAGCACUAAUGAUCGGAAAACGCUGUUAGUAGGGAAGAACAAAAGUUUAAGUAACUAUGAUCAUCAUGACGGUACCGGGUGAGAAAGCCACGGCUAACUACGUG